GGUUUACCUGUGUGACUGCGUACCUUUUGUAUAAUGGGUCAGCGACUUAUAUUCUGUAGCAAGGUUAACCGUAUAGGGGAGCCGGAGGGAAACCGAGUCUUAACCGGGCGUUAAGUUGCAGGGUAUAGACCCGAAACCCGGUGAUCUAGCCAUGGGCAGGUUGAAGGUUGGGUAACACUAACUGGAGGACCGAACCGACUAAUGUUGAAAAAUUAGCGGAUGACCUGUGGCUGGGGGUGAAAGGCCAAUCAAACCGGGAGAUAGCUGGUUCUCCCCGAAAGCUAUUUAGGUAGCGCCUCGUGAAUUCAUCUCCGGGGGUAGAGCACUGUUUCGGCUAGGGGGCCAUCCCGGCUUACCAACCCGAUGCAAACUGCGAAUACCGGAGAAUGUUAUCACGGG
rnacentral:rRNA from 1 species